CCUCCUUUCUAAGGAAACCAAUAAAAUCAAUCAUCUUCAGUUUUGAAAGACUUAGGAUAACUAAGUUUUUCUUCGUGACUUCACGAAGGGCCUAUAGCUCAGUUGGUUAGAGCACACGCCUGAUAAGCGUGAGGUCGGUGGUUCAAGUCCAUUUAGGCCCACCAGAGUUAUAGGUGUCGUAAGAACACAAAUUCUUUGAAAAUUAGGUAAAUAAUAGUUAUUUUUCCGGAACAUUAAAGGAAAUAAGAGCGCACAGUGGAUGCCUAGGCACCAAGAGCCGAUGAAGG
rnacentral:misc_RNA from 1 species